GGUGAAGAACGUAGCGAAAUGCGAAAAGUAAUGUGAAUUGCAGAAUUCAGUGAACCAUCGAAUCUUUGAACGCACAUUGCGCCCGCUGGAACUCCGGCGGGCACGCCUGUCCGAGCGUCAUUUCAACCCUCAGGCCCCCCUUCGCGGGCGGGCCUGGUGUUGGGGCCCGGCCGCUACCCUGCGGCCGUCCCCUAAAUUCAGUGGCGGCCUCGCCGUGAUCCCUUGCGUAGUAAUGCACCUCGCACCGGAGAGCGCCGUGGCCACGCCGUAAAACCCCCAAUUUUCAAUGGUUGACCUCGGAUCAGGUGGGAAUACCCGCUGAACUUAAGCAUAUCAAUAAGCGGAGGA
rnacentral:misc_RNA from 1 species